rnacentral:rRNA from 1 species
CCGGCGAUUUCCGAAUGGGGAAACCCAGUGUGAUUCGUCACACUAUCAUUAACUGAAUCCAUAGGUUAAUGAGGCGAACCGGGGGAACUGAAACAUCUAAGUACCCCGAGGAAAAGAAAUCAACCGAGAUUCCCCCAGUAGCGGCGAGCGAACGGGGAGCAGCCCAGAGCCUGAAUCAGUGUGUGUGUUAGUGGAAGCGUCUGGAAAGGCGCGCGAUACAGGGUGACAGCCCCGUACACAAAAAUGCACAUGCUGUGAGCUCGAUGAGUAGGGCGGGACACGUGGUAUCCUGUCUGAAUAUGGGGGGACCAUCCUCCAAGGCUAAAUACUCCUGACUGACCGAUAGUGAACCAGUACCGUGAGGGAAAGGCGAAAAGAACCCCGGCGAGGGGAGUGAAAAAGAACCUGAAACCGUGUACGUACAAGCAGUGGGAGCACAGAGCAAUCUGUGUGACUGCGUACCUUUUGUAUAAUGGGUCAGCGACUUAUAUUCUGUAGCAAGGUUAACCGAAUAGGGGAGCCGAAGGGAAACCGAGUCUUAACUGGGCGUUAAGUUGCAGGGUAUAGACCCGAAACCCGGUGAUCUAGCCAUGGGCAGGUUGAAGGUUGGGUAACACUAACUGGAGGACCGAACCGACUAAUGUUGAAAAAUUAGCGGAUGACUUGUGGCUGGGGGUGAAAGGCCAAUCAAACCGGGAGAUAGCUGGUUCUCCCCGAAAGCUAUUUAGGUAGCGCCUCGUGAAUUCAUCUCCGGGGGUAGAGCACUGUUUCGGCAAGGGGGUCAUCCCGACUUACCAACCCGAUGCAAACUGCGAAUACCGGAGAAUGUUAUCACGGGAGACACACGGCGGGUGCUAACGUCCGUCGUGAAGAGGGAAACAACCCAGACCGCCAGCUAAGGUCCCAAAGUCAUGGUUAAGUGGGAAACGAUGUGGGAAGGCCCAGACAGCCAGGAUGUUGGCUUAGAAGCAGCCAUCAUUUAAAGAAAGCGUAAUAGCUCACUGGUCGAGUCGGCCUGCGCGGAAGAUGUAACGGGGCUAAACCAUGCACCGAAGCUGCGGCAGCGACGCUUAUGCGUUGUUGGGUAGGGGAGCGUUCUGUAAGCCUGUGAAGGUGUACUGUGAGGUAUGCUGGAGGUAUCAGAAGUGCGAAUGCUGACAUAAGUAACGAUAAAGCGGGUGAAAAGCCCGCUCGCCGGAAGACCAAGGGUUCCUGUCCAACGUUAAUCGGGGCAGGGUGAGUCGACCCCUAAGGCGAGGCCGAAAGGCGUAGUCGAUGGGAAACAGGUUAAUAUUCCUGUACUUGGUGUUACUGCGAAGGGGGGACGGAGAAGGCUAUGUUGGCCGGGCGACGGUUGUCCCGGUUUAAGCGUGUAGGCUGGUUUUCCAGGCAAAUCCGGAAAAUCAAGGCUGAGGCGUGAUGACGAGGCACUACGGUGCUGAAGCAACAAAUGCCCUGCUUCCAGGAAAAGCCUCUAAGCAUCAGGUAACAUCAAAUCGUACCCCAAACCGACACAGGUGGUCAGGUAGAGAAUACCAAGGCGCUUGAGAGAACUCGGGUGAAGGAACUAGGCAAAAUGGUGCCGUAACUUCGGGAGAAGGCACGCUGAUAUGUAGGUGAAGUCCCUCGCGGAUGGAGCUGAAAUCAGUCGAAGAUACCAGCUGGCUGCAACUGUUUAUUAAAAACACAGCACUGUGCAAACACGAAAGUGGACGUAUACGGUGUGACGCCUGCCCGGUGCCGGAAGGUUAAUUGAUGGGGUCAGCGCAAGCGAAGCUCUUGAUCGAAGCCCCGGUAAACGGCGGCCGUAACUAUAACGGUCCUAAGGUAGCGAAAUUCCUUGUCGGGUAAGUUCCGACCUGCACGAAUGGCGUAAUGAUGGCCAGGCUGUCUCCACCCGAGACUCAGUGAAAUUGAACUCGCUGUGAAGAUGCAGUGUACCCGCGGCAAGACGGAAAGACCCCGUGAACCUUUACUAUAGCUUGACACUGAACAUUGAGCCUUGAUG